UCCCCUUCGGGGGACAAAGUGACAGGUGGUGCAUGGUUGUCGUCAGCUCGUGUCGUGAGAUGUUGGGUUAAGUCCCGCAACGAGCGCAACCCUUAAGCUUAGUUGCCAGCAUUAAGUUGGGCACUCUAAGUUGACUGCCGGUGUCAAACCGGAGGAAGGUGGGGAUGACGUCAAAUCAUCAUGCCCCUUAUGAUUUGGGCUACACACGUGCUACAAUGGACAAUACAAAGGGCAGCUAAACCGCGAGGUCAUGCAAAUCCCAUAAAGUUGUUCUCAGUUCGGAUUGUAGUCUGCAACUCGACUACAUGAAGCUGGAAUCGCUAGUAAUCGUAGAUCAGCAUGCUACGGUGAAUACGUUCCCGGGUCUUGUACACACCGCCCGUCACACCACGAGAGUCUGUAACACCCGAAGCCGGUGGAGUAACCAUUUAUGGAGCUAGCCGUCGAAGGUGGGACAAAUGAUUGGGGUGAAGUCGUAACAAGGUAGCCGUAUCGGAAGGUGCGGUUGGAUCACCUC
rnacentral:rRNA from 1 species